rnacentral:rRNA from 1 species
CGACUUUCGGCAACGGAUAUCUCGGCUCUCGCAUUGAUGAAGAACGUAGCACAAUGCGAUACUUGGUGUGAAUUGCAGAAUCCUUUGAACCAUCGAGUCUUUGAACGCAAGUUGCACUCGAGGCCGAGGGCACGCCUGCCU